rnacentral:lncRNA from 1 species
AAUAUAUGGGAUAUGACAUUUCUUGUGCUAACCGUUAUCUCAUAAAAAAACUUUGAAUGAGAAAACCUGAUGGCAAAACUCAUAAAGAAAAGAGUACAAGGUGAUAUUGUUAACACGACGCAUCAUUCAAGGAGACUCCCCCAGAAGCUUGUAAAUCUCGAAACCGUCUCAUACCAAUUCCCUUAACACAUUUCUCAAAUGAGGAAGCUUUUGAAGCUAGUUGGGAGUUAGUAAAGAUGUCGGCAAGAAUAUCACAAGAGUUUGUUUGCAAGAUAUUUAUUUCCCCACUUUGCUGAAGGUGAUAGGGAUAAAAUAUCUUGGGAGCAAUGUGCUUGGUG